CAAUAGCGUAUAUUAAAGUUGUUGCGGUUAAAAAGCUCGUAGUUGGAUUUCUGCCGAGGACGUCCGGUCCACCCUCUGGGUGUGUACAUGGCACGGCCUGGGCAUCUUCUUGGGGUACGUAUCUGCACUUGACUGUGUGGUGCGGAAUCCAGGACUUUUACUUUGAGGAAAUUAGAGUGUUUCAAGCAGGCACGCGCCUUGAAUACAUUAGCAUGGAAUAAUAAGAUAGGACCUCGGUUCUAUUUUGUUGGUUUCUAGAGCUGAGGUAAUGAUUAAUAGGGAUAGUUGGGGGCAUUCGUAUUUAACUGUCAGAGGUGAAAUUCUUGGAUUUGUUAAAGACGGACUUCUGCGAAAGCAUUUGCCAAGGAUGUUUUCGUUAA
rnacentral:rRNA from 1 species